GUGCUAUCACUUCAGCAGCACAUAUACUAAAAUUGGAAUGAUACAGAGAAGAUUAGAAUGGCCCCUGCACAAGGAUGACACGCAAGCAAUAGGAAAAGACCUCCAAAUGG